rnacentral:tRNA from 1 species
GCCUGUGUGGCGGAAUCGGUAGACGCAGCGGACUUAAAAUCCGUGGGUUUUAUGGCCUUGGGAGUUCAAGUCUCCCCAUGGGCACCA